rnacentral:lncRNA from 1 species
GGCCCCCAACUGCCGCCCGCCCGCCGGCAGGGAGCGGCUCCCAUCGCCGCCCAGGCGUUAGCGAAAAUCGCGCGCACAGAGAGGAGCUUUCUCCUCUGCUAAAAAUAGGCUAUAAAGGAGUCGGCCUCAUGAUGGCUCCUUGAUUCAAUUUGCUGCAAAUUCUUUCCUGAAAGCCUUCCCCGCCUCACAUCCACACGCACAAAAAGGGGGGUGUCGAGGCACGAAGGGCGCGAGGGGGAGCAGGCCGAGGUGCACAUUUUCGGGAGACAACAACAACAUAAUUAGGGACCUAUGUGAAACAACAGUGUGGCUUGAACAGUAAAUACUUGGGUAAAAUACUAGGAUAAAUGAGCUGCCUUACAAAGGUCACAUGUGUUAUUACUUCACCACCACCACCACCUCCGGCCAUUCCAAAAUACCCAGCACACAAGAUCAGAGGCUGCACCAAACUUCAAGCAAAAAUUAGGCCCAUGAGGGGAGGCUCUCAGCUGGUGCCAUCCAGACGGAAGCACUUGUUGGCCACAUAAGUCAUCUUAGCACACAAGGCCCUCCUCUCCAUCUGUGCAGAGCACACUGCUUAUGACCUCUCCUCAUCAGUGUGAAGCUUGCAGUUUUCCAUGCUUCUGUGACUGAUUUCAUUACAACACAUUUUCCUUGGGGGGUCUUCAUUUAAAUUACAGAAGAGCCAGUUGUAUGCAAGCCUGAAAUCCCAGCCCUCAGGGAGGGUGAGGCAAGAGGAUCUCUGUAAAUUCUGUGAGUUCUGGGCCAGCCUGGGCUACAUAGUGAGACCCUGUCCUAAAACAAAACAAACAAACAAGAAACACAACUAUAUUUUUUGGUUUUGCUGUCAUUGUAGUCAUAGGGGUAAACCCAGGGCCUUCACACUAAACUAUAGCCACAGCCCUUUUUCAUUGUUUAUUUUGAAACAGGAGCUUCCUCAGUCACUAAGUUACCCAGGCUGGGCUCAAAUUUGUGAUCUUUCUGCCUCAGCCUCCCCAAGUACCGGGAAUUCCAGGCGUGCUCGAUCAUGCCCAGCACAACUAUCUUAUGAGUAUCUGUGUCUCUCAGGUUAUGGAAAUAUCAAAGUUGUAUCCUGAGUUUGUCAUUUAGUCAGAACAGAAAAAGCAACCGCGCACAUCAAAGAUUUCCCCAUCAAUCCCUUACUUCCAUUGACCAGGCAAGUAUUUCUCCAGGCAGCACUGAAGGCCUUCUAGUGUGUUGAUGCUUCUGCUAUUUGUUCAUUAAUUCAAGGAAUGUUUGCUGAAUGCUUAUUGUGCAGGUCUCUAUUAAGGAAGCUGUUUUUGUUGUUGCUGUCGUAGUUGCUGUGCUGGGGAUCAAAUACUGGGCUUCAUGCAUGCUAGGAAAGUACCAGUAAGCUAUAUCCCCAGCCCAGGAAGCUGUUCACAGUGAACCAAACACAGUGGAAUUUACAGCCUAGUCUCAAGUGGAGUGGGAGUUAGGAUGCACA